rnacentral:rRNA from 1 species
GUGGGGAAUAUUGGACAAUGGGGGGAACCCUGAUCCAGCCAUGCCGCGUGUGUGAAGAAGGCCUUUUGGUUGUAAAGCACUUUAAGCGAGGAGGAGGCUACCGAGAUUAAUACUCUUGGAUAGUGGACGUUACUCGCAGAAUAAGCACCGGCUAACUCUGUGCCAGCAGCCGCGGUAAUACAGAGGGUGCAAGCGUUAAUCGGAUUUACUGGGCGUAAAGCGCGCGUAGGUGGCCAAUUAAGUCAAAUGUGAAAUCCCCGAGCUUAACGUGGGAAUUGGAUUCGAUACUGGUUGGCUAGAGUAUGGGAGAGGAUGGUAGAAUUCCAGGUGUAGCGGUGAAAUGCGUAGAGAUCUGGAGGAAUACCGAUGGCGAAGGCAGCCAUCUGGCCUAAUACUGACACUGAGGUGCGAAAGCAUGGGGAGCAAACAGGAUUAGAUACCCGGGUAGUCC